rnacentral:rRNA from 1 species
CCAACAGGGAUUGCCCUAGUAACGGCGAGUGAAGCGGCAACAGCUCAAAUUUGAAAUCUGGCGCAAGCCCGAGUUGUAAUUUGUAGAGGAUGCUUCUAGGUAGCGACCGGUCUAAGUUCCUUGGAACAGGACGUCAUAGAGGGUGAGAAUCCCGUAUGUGACCGGCCCGCACCUUCUACGUAGCUCCUUCGACGAGUCGAGUUGUUUGGGAAUGCAGCUCUAAAUGGGAGGUAAAUUUCUUCUAAAGCUAAAUACCGGCCAGAGACCGAUAGCGCACAAGUAGAGUGAUCGAAAGAUGAAAAGCACUUUGGAAAGAGAGUUAAAAAGCACGUGAAAUUGUUGAAAGGGAAGCGCUCACAACCAGACUUCUGGGCGGUGUUCCGCCGGUCUUCUGACCGGUCUACUCACCGUCCCGAGGCCAACAUCAUCUGGGACCGCCGGAUAAGACCUUAGGAAUGUAGCUCCCCUCGGGGAGUGUUAUAGCCUGUGGUGAUGCGGCGCGUCUCGGGUGAGGUCCGCGCUUCGGCAAGGAUGUUGGCGUAAUGGUUGUCAGCGGCCCGUCUUGAAACACGGACCAAGGAGUCUAACAUCUAUGCGAGUGUUCGGGUGUCAAACCCCUACGCGUAAUGAAAGUGAACGGAGGUGGGAAGGGUAACCUGCACCAUCGACCGAUCCUGAUGUCCUCGGAUGGAUUUGAGUAAGAGCAUAGCUGUUGGGACCCGAAAGAUGGUGAACUAUGCCUGAAUAGGGUGAAGCCAGAGGAAACUCUGGUGGAGGCUCGCAGCGGUUCUGACGUGCAAAUCGAUCGUCAAAUUUGGGUAUAGGGGCGAA